GCUGACGAGUGGCGGACGGGUGAGUAAUGUCUGGGAAACUGCCUGAUGGAGGGGGAUAACUACUGGAAACGGUGGCUAAUACCGCAUAACGUCGCAAGACCAAAGAGGGGGACCUUCGGGCCUCUUGCCAUCAGAUGUGCCCAGAUGGGAUUAGCUUGUUGGUGAGGUAACGGCUCACCAAGGCGACGAUCCCUAGCUGGUCUGAGAGGAUGACCAGCCACACUGGAACUGAGACACGGUCCAGACUCCUACGGGAGGCAGCAGUGGGGAAUAUUGCACAAUGGGCGCAAGCCUGAUGCAGCCAUGCCGCGUGUAUGAAGAAGGCCUUCGGGUUGUAAAGUACUUUCAGCGGGGAGGAAGGUGUUGUGGUUAAUAACCGCAGCAAUUGACGUUACCCGCAGAAGAAGCACCGGCUAACUCCGUGCCAGCAGCCGCGGUAAUACGGAGGGUGCAAGCGUUAAUCGGAAUUACUGGGCGUAAAGCGCACGCAGGCGGUCUGUCAAGUCGGAUGUGAAAUCCCCGGGCUCAACCUGGGAACUGCAUUCGAAACUGGCAGGCUUGAGUCUUGUAGAGGGGGGUAGAAUUCCAGGUGUAGCGGUGAAAUGCGUAGAGAUCUGGAGGAAUACCGGUGGCGAAGGCGGCCCCCUGGACAAAGACUGACGCUCAGGUGCGAAAGCGUGGGGAGCAAACAGGAUUAGAUACCCUGGUAGUCCACGCCGUAAACGAUGUCUACUUGGAGGUUGUGCCCUUGAGGCGUGGCUUCCGGAGCUAACGCGUUAAGUAGACCGCCUGGGGAGUACGGCCGCAAGGUUAAAACUCAAAUGAAUUGACGGGGGCCCGCACAAGCGGUGGAGCAUGUGGUUUAAUUCGAUGCAACGCGAAGAACCUUACCUGGUCUUGACAUCCACGGAAGAAUUCAGAGAUGGAUUUGUGCCUUCGGGAACCGUGAGACAGGUGCUGCAUGGCUGUCGUCAGCUCGUGUUGUGAAAUGUUGGGUUAAGUCCCGCAACGAGCGCAACCCUUAUCCUUUGUUGCCAGCGGUCCGGCCGGGAACUCAAAGGAGACUGCCAGUGAUAAACUGGAGGAAGGUGGGGAUGACGUCAAGUCAUCAUGGCCCUUACGACCAGGGCUACACACGUGCUACAAUGGCGCAUACAAAGAGAAGCGACCUCGCGAGAGCAAGCGGACCUCAUAAAGUGCGUCGUAGUCCGGAUUGGAGUCUGCAACUCGACUCCAUGAAGUCGGAAUCGCUAGUAAUCGUGGAUCAGAAUGCCACGGUGAAUACGUUCCCGGGCCUUGUACACACCGCCCGUCACACCAUGGGAGUGGGUUGCAAAAGAAGUAGGUAGCUUAACCUUCGGGAGGGCGCUUACCACUUUGUGAUUCAUGACUGGGGUGAAGUCGUAACAAGGUAACCGUAGGGGAACCUGCGGUUGGAUCACCUCCUUACCU
rnacentral:rRNA from 1 species